UGGCCCUUAAUGCAAGAUAGUAAAUAACUUGAACAUGCUGGCUUACAAUGCACAUGCUCAAGGGAAUAUGACUGCUUCCAAUGUGUGAAGCAGGUGUCCACGAACAUAUUUACAUUUGGAUGGAAGAGAUAUAAAGAGUUUAGACAUGACACGAUGAAGGAAGCUAAUAAACUAUACAGAGAUGAUGAAGGUGAAGAGAACAAGGCUUGCAGCAAUAUGUUCAGGAGGAACUGCAAAGAUGGUCAAGGACAACAAAAACCUAAAGCUGAACAUGAACAGAUUGGAGGAACUGAGAAAAUAGAAGGCAAUUCGAUGGGGAAAACUGCAGUACAGGCAGGUGACCUCUGUUAGAUUUCAAAGUCCCACUUUUUAAGCAGAAUUACUCAAAAAGUACACCUAAAGGAGAGAAAAUAGCCUGACCUCUCUCCAAACUGAUUUGACCCUAGAAGCCUGAAUACAACACUCUCCAUUACUUGCAUAAGGUACAGCCUUCAUUAACCAGGAAAGGUAGACUGGAUCACUCUAGGAAAAAGUAAAGGAUGGUGCUGGUCAGAGAAUCCUUCCCUAGAUAAGGAAGACAGUCAUUUUCCGUCCUUUCGCCUCCUCUCCAGCACUGGAAUUAAACAGAAGAAAACUGCACUCACCUCAUCCUUUCCCAAGAUGAAGGGAACAAAGGGAAAAACUACUACAGCUCCUACUGGAGCAGAAGUGAUUAUUUAUGUCUGAAACUGAAGCAGAGGUCAGAAGUUUAUGUGAUUGUGAAGUUGCAGUCAAGUGAGCGGUGGGGUUGAUUUGAGAGAGAAAAUGACUUCCCGAAUUUAGGAUUCAACAGCCAGAAUGGCUAGGUACACACAACCUUCCAGUUAAGUCGAUUAUUGAACUUCAGGAGCUUCAGAAAGAUAUUUUUAUACCUUUAAGAAUUCUACUAAUUUCAGUGGAAAUUUCAGUGCAGACUUGUAAUAUGAAGGUCAAUAAAAAUUACUUCACCAUUUCUAGUUUAUUUUUGUGGAUUACUUAGAAUUUGGGAAUAAUCCUUUUGAGUUUCUCUGUGUAAGUAUUAAUUUCAGGGAAAGUGGAUGAAUUUGAAAAACUGUGAUAUGAUUAUUUUUUCAUAUUUUAACUUUUUUUGUGUGUGUGUUUGUUUUGGUGAGUCUUAUAAGGCUUUCCAGAUUUCUUUUCUCUGUUAAUCUAUGAAUGUGAAAAAUAACAUCACU